rnacentral:rRNA from 1 species
CUACGGGAGGCAGCAGUAGGGAAUCUUCCACAAUGGACGAAAGUCUGAUGGAGCAACGCCGCGUGAGUGAAGAAGGGUUUCGGCUCGUAAAACUCUGUUGUUAAAGAAGAACAUAUCUGAGAGUAACUGUUCAGGUAUUGACGGUAUUUAACCAGAAAGCCACGGCUAACUACGUGCCAGCAGCCGCGGUAAUACGUAGGUGGCAAGCGUUGUCCGGAUUUAUUGGGCGUAAAGCGAGCGCAGGCGGUUUUUUAAGUCUGAUGUGAAAGCCUUCGGCUCAACCGAAGAAGUGCAUCGGAAACUGGGAAACUUGAGUGCAGAAGAGGACAGUGGAACUCCAUGUGUAGCGGUGAAAUGCGUAGAUAUAUGGAAGAACACCAGUGGCGAAGGCGGCUGUCUGGUCUGUAACUGACGCUGAGGCUCGAAAGUAUGGGUAGCAAACAGGAUUAGAUACCCUGGUAGUCCAUACCGUAAACGAUGAAUGCUAAGUGUUGGAGGGUUUCCGCCCUUCAGUGCUGCAGCUAACGCAUUAAGCAUUCCGCCUGGGGAGUACGGCCGCAAGGCUGAAACUCAAAGGAAUUGACGGGGGCCCGCACAAGCGGUGGAGCAUGUGGUUUAAUUCGAAGCUACGCGAAGAACCUUACCAGGUCUUGACAUACUAUGCAAAUCUAAGAGAUUAGACGUUCCCUUCGGGGACAUGGAUACAGGUGGUGCAUGGUUGUCGUCAGCUCGUGUCGUGAGAUGUUGGGUUAAGUCCCGCAACGAGCGCAACCCUUAUUAUCAGUUGCCAGCAUUAAGUUGGGCACUCUGGUGAGACUGCCGGUGACAAACCGGAGGAAGGUGGGGAUGACGUCAAAUCAUCAUGCCCCUUAUGACCUGGGCUACACACGUGCUACAAUGGAUGGUACAACGAGUUGCGAACUCGCGAGAGUAAGCUAAUCUCUUAAAGCCAUUCUCAGUUCGGAUUGUAGGCUGCAACUCGCCUACAUGAAGUCGGAAUCGCUAGUAAUCGCGGAUCAGCAUGCCGCGGUGAAUACGUUCCCGGGCCUUGUACACACCGCCCGUCACACCAUGAGAGUUUGUAACACCCAAAGUCGGUGGGGUAACCUUUUAGGAACCAG